ACCACAGUUCCCGCUCUCUCAUUACGCCGUGAUGCAGUGCAACGCCGCUCUGCAGAUAUUCCCACAUAAAUUCAUUUCGCAAUCCAUUAAAGAUGCGGCGGGUGAGAUCAUUUACAUCACGGCGUCCCAGUGCAAUACAGCGCGACGCCGGCUUUUACAACACCGCCAAAUGUGCCAGGUCCCCCCCCCGGUUGGACGGCAACCUGAGUGAUGGAUGGGAGCCCGCCAUCUCAAGUUGCUGCUAGUCGACCGCUGUUGGUGUUUUUCUUGCCUUCCUCUGACAGGAGAGUUGAUAACUGACGGCAGAUCAAGACGCCGGGCCAUUUGUGAUGAAAGGUUUUGACUGGAGAGAUGAAAGUUUGCGAAUUCCAAAGCACAACUACGUCUCCGGUUACAAAGCGAGGUCAAUCCACUUGCAGUGACUAGGUUUUAGUGGUGAGGGCGCCGUGGGUGGAGGAAAAACACACAGCCACGGCAGACUUGUCAGCUAUUUCGAGAUUUCAGCUGUCGAGCCACGUCUCCCAAUUUAAAGAUCCAUAUUUUUAGGGGAGGUCCUGAGAAGAAGAUGAAAUGUAUUAAUGUGUCAUCAAAAAGGUGAUCGCCCGUGGAAAGUGCGGCACAUACCGCAGCGCAGGGCUGUUGCAGAGGCUUGUUGGGGCCAUCGGUGUGUUAGCACUCAUCUGAAAUGCGAUCUUCCACAUCUGCGUCUUUCGACCAUGGCCAAAUUCCUCGCUACUGUAACUAAAGGGAUUGUUUUGUUCCUUCCACUCGCCUCUGACUGUCCACCCAUAAAAGUGUCAAGAUUGAACUAUCUGGAUUAAGAGUGAGUGAAGCGGCUGCCAUUUUCAACAGCCUGUGUGAAACGUCUCUGUCGUCUGCAGCACGGCCUUCCAGCAGGAGGAAAAUGCAUUAGUCCCAAUGGGUCGUAGUCCUCCGGAAACCAGAUAUGCUGCUUUUAUUAAGAAGGACACAAGUUAAUUUAUGUCAGAGCUUAAAAAAAGCCUGCUGCUGCUUCUUAUUUUAAUGAUGAAGCAGGUGUUGUGGGGUUUAAACUCCGAACAACAACUGCCUCUCACGCUUGUUGUGUCUGAAUCGAAAUGUUUUAAUUUCCGAAGAUUAUUAGCGGUUUGUAAAGUUAAUAUCAGUCAAAGUAAGUCUGUUUUAGCGGAAGAAACCCUGAGGAUUUUAUAGAAAAACAAGUACAGGAACACGUAGGCACAGGUUUUCGCCGCGUACGAGAGUUACUUAAGAGGUUGGGAGAAGGAGAGCAUACACAAACAUUGCACAGCAGCGGAGUAGGAGUGCGACACUGUUGAACUCUGCACGGCGUGUCCGAGCACGCAGAGGGCCUCGGCUAAUAUCGAUGCAUUCCCAUGUGCUAUUGUCUUGCCCGAGCAGAAGCCUAGAGAUCGCAGCUUGAGGAAAACAGCGGCCUAACGUCCCCACCCGACCCCACCCCUCGACACACCACCCGCGAUCGGCACACUGACUCAUGGAGUGAACACUUCAACUAAGGCAGAAAAGAGGCGCCUGGACAGCGUCUCGUGCCCGGAUCCGCUGGACCCUCCGGCCACUCGAAACGUUUUGUCGCCACGCUGUCCAGGCCGUGCCAUUUUCAUUCCAGUGCAGCCGCUCGGCUCUUCCACCUGUCAUCUGCCCCUCCGAGAUCCCCGCGGCCGGCCCGCUGACAGCCUCCCGAGCGCCGGGGGAGAAGUGCACUGCCGCAGCCUCCGUGUUGUCAUCACGCUCCCCCUGCUGAUGGAGUGCUCGUUGCUCCCGUAAAGCUUUCUCUAGGUUACAGCAGGGCACAGACUUUCCGCGGAAUAUCAAUGAUAGUUAAAGCUUGGGCCCCGGAUGUCAGCGAGAGGUGACAGAACAAGAAAUUAGAGGCUUAAUGGGCAGAAAUAAUACGGUCUGGAG